AUUGAACGCUGGCGGCAUGCUUUACACAUGCAAGUCGAACGGUAACAGGCCUUCGGGUGCUGACGAGUGGCGCACGGGCGAGUAAUGCAUCGGAACGUACCCAGAGGUGGGGGAUAACGCAGCGAAAGCUGUGCUAAUACCGCAUGUGAUCUGAGGAUGAAAGCGGGGGACCGAGCAGCAAUGUUUGGCCUCGCGCCUUUGGAGCGGCCGAUGUCGGAUUAGCUAGUUGGUGGGGUAAAGGCCUACCAAGGCGACGAUCCGUAGCUGGUCUGAGAGGACGACCCGACCUAGUGGGAGUGAGACGCGGCGCAGACUCCUAAGGGCGGCAGGGGUGGGGAAUUUUGGACAAUGGGCGCAAGCCUGAGCCAGCAAUGCCGCGUGCGGGAAGAAGGCCUUCGGGUUGUAAGACGCUUUUGGCAGGAACGAAACGGUGUCCGCUAAUACCGGGCGCUAAUGACGGUACCUGCAGAAUAAGCACCGGCUAACUACGUG
rnacentral:rRNA from 1 species